ACUCCGCUCAAUUUCUCACCAAGGAAAUCUCCAUCCUGCAAUGCGCUGAAGUGCCAGGACACCCCAGCGACUGCAGAAGGGGGAAAACACCGAGAGGUUCUUGCUGGCUUUGCGUGGCUCGGGUGUGAACCUGAAGAAGAGGGAGGGAGGAUAAGAAGGGCCGUCCCUUAAGGCUGAAAACUCCUGUCACUCCGGAAAAGAAGGCGACCUGCUCCCUCUAUAGGCUUUCCUGGGAGCUGCGUUCGGGAACCGGCCGCACAGGGAUUCAGAGCUGCCUGCAGGCUUUGAAGGCUGGCAAAAACUCUGAAUGGAAGAGACACCCCCUGAGCAGACAGUUCCCCGAACCCAGGCACGUUUCCUCCCCAGCGCCCGCUGUCCCGACCGCUUUUCUCUCCUCCCUGUCCCAGGGCCCCGCUUCCUCCGUUGCACCAGCACUGCGAUUUCUGGCAUUGUUCCGGUAAGAAAAGCAACCUGUAUUAAGAAUAACCCUGUAAAUAGAAAAGA